rnacentral:rRNA from 1 species
AAACUAAUAUAUUUUGACGGCAUCUCAUCUAAUUAGAGGAAUUUGUCAUUUAAUCGAUAAUCCACGAUAAAUUUCACUUAAAUAACAAAUUUAUAUACCGCCAUCUUAAGAACUAAUUUAAAAAUAUAUUCUCAAUAAAAUAUAAUACGUUAGGUCAAGGUGUAGUUUAUAUUUAAGCAUUAGAUGAAUUACCCUAAAUAACAUUUAAGGAUUAUUAACAAAAGCAUAUAUAAAAAAGGAUUUAAAAGUAAUAUUAAAAUAAUAAUACAAUAUGAUACAGAUAAUAAAUGUGUACACAUCGCCC